UCUUUGAGUCCAUAUUUCAUUUUAGAAAAAAUGGUUUCAUAUUUCUAAAUUUAGGCUUUCAGAGCGCGCUAUGUCAAGAGCCGCUAUAUACUAGGCUGCUAAGAGACUGGUCAGCCCGAGAAACAAUGCCCUUUCCUGUGACCACUAUCAAGAGCAGCUCAGAAUUCCUGCCAGCUUGUUAGCCUUUAUCAUCCAGUCAUUUUAGACCUGAAAGGGAACAUUCCAUCAGGGGAUCAGUUUCUGUCAUUUCACUGGAAUGCAACGAUGCUUUGUUCAUUUCACAUGGAAGUCAGUUGAGUUUUUCCUCUGGUUUUCUCAUCACAUACUGCCUUCGAAGGGCCUCCUCAGCUCUGCUCUAGACCAGAAGUCAGGCCUCACAGAUCCGUUUCCUUAUGGAUGACUUUAGGAAGCCAGCAUUUUUGAUAAAUGUUUAUUUUGCUGGACAUCCAAGAAAAUCAUAAUUUCAGAGGAAAUUGAAUUUCCCGGGGGAGCU